rnacentral:rRNA from 1 species
UGAUCUGACGAGCUUGCUCUGAUUUGAUUUUAUCUGACAAAGAGUGGCGAACGGGUGAGUAACACGUGGGUAACCUACCUCUUAGCAGGGGAUAACAUUUGGAAACAAGUGCUAAUACCGUAUAAUACCAACAACCGCAUGGUUGUUGGUUGAAAGAUGGUUCUGCUAUCACUAAGAGAUGGACCCGCGGUGCAUUAGCUAGUUGGUAAGGUAACGGCUUACCAAGGCAAUGAUGCAUAGCCGAGUUGAGAGACUGAUCGGCCACAAUGGGACUGAGACACGGCCCAUACUCCUACGGGAGGCAGCAGUAGGGAAUCUUCCACAAUGGGCGCAAGCCUGAUGGAGCAACGCCGCGUGUGUGAUGAAGGGUUUCGGCUCGUAAAACACUGUUAUAAGAGAAGAACGGCACUGAGAGUAACUGUUCAGUGUGUGACGGUAUCUUACCAGAAAGGAACGGCUAAAUACGUGCCAGCAGCCGCGGUAAUACGUAUGUUCCAAGCGUUAUCCGGAUUUAUUGGGCGUAAAGCGAGCGCAGACGGUUAUUUAAGUCUGAAGUGAAAGCCCUCAGCUCAACUGAGGAAUGGCUUUGGAAACUGGAUGACUUGAGUGCAGUAGAGGAAAGUGGAACUCCAUGUGUAGCGGUGAAAUGCGUAGAUAUAUGGAAGAACACCAGUGGCGAAGGCGGCUUUCUGGACUGUAACUGACGUUGA